GACGAACGCUGGCGGCGUGCCUAAUACAUGCAAGUCGAGCGCAGGAAAUCAUCUGAACCCUUCGGGGGGACGUUGAUGGAAUGAGCGGCGGACGGGUGAGUAACACGUAAAGAACCUGCCCUCAGGUCUGGGAUAACCACGAGAAAUCGGGGCUAAUACCGGAUGGGUCAUCGGACCGCAUGGUCCGAGGAUGAAAGGCGCUUCGGCGUCGCCGGGGGAUGGCUUUGCGGUGCAUUAGCUAGUUGGUGGGGUAAUGGCCCACCAAGGCGACGAUGCAUAGCCGACCUGAGAGGGUGAUCGGCCACACUGGGACUGAGACACGGCCCAGACUCCUACGGGAGGCAGCAGUAGGGAAUCUUCCACAAUGGACGAAAGUCUGAUGGAGCAACGCCGCGUGAACGAUGAAGGCCUUCGGGUCGUAAAGUUCUGUUGUAAGGGAAGAACAAGUGCCGCAGGCAAUGGCGGCACCUUGACGGUACCUUGCGAGAAAGCCACGGCUAACUACGUGCCAGCCGCCGCAGUAA
rnacentral:rRNA from 1 species